rnacentral:lncRNA from 1 species
UGGCAAAAUAAUAAUAAAUACUCAUAAAUAAUAUAAUAUAAUAAUGAUAAUAAUAUAUUUUUAAAAAUAUGCGAUUAUUACCGUGCAUUUUUAGUGAAUGGUAAAUGAAUAGUGAUAAUGAGUGAUAAUGUUGGUUGUUGGUUGAACGACGGGUAGUUGAGGACUCCCCUUAACAAUUUUUAACUCUAUGCUUUGGUUUUUUUUUUUUCGUAUUAUCACUUAUUAAACGUGGUGUAGUGUGUAUCUAAGGUUGUGUAAUACGAAUAAUUAAAUAGGUACUAUGCUAGAGUAAAUGAAACAAAUUAAAUAAUUGUUUUACAUCAAAUAUUUAUUGCGAUUUCUGUGUAGAUAUUUCAUCGACACGUUGUUGGUAAGUAUAUUAUUUAUAUUUAUAAUUAGAGCACGGAUUUAAAUGUAUUAAAAACUAACCAAAUAUACGCUAAACAAAUCUUAAAUAUGCAUAGUUAUAUGCACUAAAAUGUUAAUAUACCCAUAAAUAGUAAAAAAAAAUACGACAGAAAGCACACACGAACGCACGGUAAAUAUUUUAACAUAACUAAAAUGUCAAUGUUCAGUGGCCGUAAACGAUAUUUUCUUAUCUUGGUACACGUAUUUUAUUUCACCGAUUAUUUAUCUUAGGUCAUAUUUGGGAAACUGUUGUUUUGCCUACAAGUAUACCAAUUAAUUUAUUUUGAUAUUAAUCGAAACUAUAUAAAUAUAAUAUUUUUUUCCUAUAUUAUAAUAGUAUAUAUUUCAAAAAUGUCUAGAAAACAAAAAACACCGAAAUUUGUAUUAAAAAAUGAAAUAUGCAAAACUGAUUGUCGAAAUAUGCACUAAAAAGUUUAAUUUUUCAAAUCGUUAUGUCAUAAAACAAAUUUUGUGCCCACUUAGCAUAUCAUACAAUCAACUAGAAUAAAUAUGCAAAUCCGUGCUCUAUUUAUAAUAUUAUUUAAUUAUUGUAAAGAAGUAUUUUUUUCAUAAACUUAAUUAUCGUUAAAAUAUAAAACUACUUUAGUGGGCACGUUUUAUUUUUCUAAUUUUUUAAUUUUUAAAUUUUUUUUUUAAUAUGUGUUUUUAAAUGCUUGUUCUGAAAGUGAAUUAAUUUUUUUGCAGAAAUCAUUAUUAAAGAAGUUGUAGCUGUUAAAAAUUUGUCGUUAUUGGGUUUUGCUUAUAUAGUUUUUCGAGCCCAUACAAAUUUCACUGUUGCACAAUGUAUAUAUACGCAAGAUGUUUAUACUCAAAAACUGCAGUAUGUAUAGGGUUUGAACUUUAAUUUGUAGAUAGGUAAAUCCAUUACGCUAUAGUGAAAUGUGUAUGGGCGGCUUGAAAAAACUACAAAAUAUUAAAAAAAAAUAAUAAGUCAUAGAAAAAUAAGUGUUGUCCAGUCGAAAAACACGUAGGUAUUUUCAAAAAAAGUUGAAACAUUUGGGGUGCCUGGUUAAGGAUUUUUCUUUUAAUAGUUAUCUUUAAUACAUAUUAUCUAGGUAGUUAGGAUAUUUUUCAUUAGAUUUUAAUUUCAUUACUUAAUAGAACUUUUAGGAUGCUUAAUCUCCAUAAUUUUUAAAAACCUAAUUUAUUUCUGACUUUAAAUAUAUAAUAAAUGUAACAGUAAUACAUAUUAGAAAUUAAAUAAUCACUCUGAUAAUAACUGUAGAUGAUUAUAAAAUCAACCUCUGUUUAACAGUAAAAUUUCUAAAAGAACAGUAAUCACAUAGGUUAUUUCUGUUGUCGUUUUUUAGGUACACUAUUAUUUAUAUAAUUCCAUCAUAUAUGUCAAUACAAAUUGAUUACUCUUUAAUGGACUACAAAAAUUGCCCCUUUGGCAACAAGGUUCUUCCGCACUCUAAUAUGGGCCUGCUAAUGGGUCACUAUAUAUUAUACAAUUUCCUUGACCUUUCUGAAGUCCUAAUCUGUUCCAGAUUAUAUUGAAAUAAAAAUGUUUUAUUUGAAUACAUAUUUCAUUUUAAUAAUUAUAAUUUAUAAUUGAUCAUAAACUUAUAUGGUUAAAAACUAUAAAUUAUAUACUGUAUUUACAUAUUUUACUGUGACAUGAUUAAAUAUUAAAUAAUUUACUGUUUAUUAUAAAAUAUAUCUGCCAAUGUUUGUUUCAUUUUAGUAUUAUAAUUUUUAGAUAUAAUGGAUUCUUCUGAACUUAACUGUAUUUCAAAAAAUAAAUGUUUUGGAGGUUCUCAACGAGUUUAUGAACAUUUUAGGUAAUUAUUUAAACAAUUAUGAUAAUUGCUGUACGUCUGAUUACGAGAUGUUUAUUUAAUUUUUUUUAUUUUUCAGUUCUUCAUUACAAUGUAACAUGAAAUUUGCUAUUUACAUUCCUCCAGAAACAAUACGUUCUGAAAAAUUCCCUGUAUUGUUUUACUUAUCAGGUUUAACAUGCAGUGAACAAAAUGUCAUCACUAAGUCAGGAUUUCAAAAAUUUGCUGCUCAAUAUAAAAUAAUUAUUGUUGCUCCUGACACUAGCCCUAGUAAGUUGAUAUCUAAACUGAUACAUAAUUGUGUAAAAUUGUAUAUCUUUAUACACUUUAGUAUAAGUAUAAACUGAAACAAAAUUUAAUAACUCUAAAGCUUAUAGGAAUUAAAUUUAGACAUGAUAAUUAUUUUAAUAGUUUAUCAUUUUAUUUAAAAUGCGUAUAAUUGAGAUCCGACUGAAGGCUUUGUCACAUCAUAACCGUAGGACCGACCAUCGUGACUGCUCCUCAGAAUCAAUAUAAUAUCAUAAUAUAAAAUAUAUAAUGUAUUAGUGAUUUUACCUCUAACCUUAGCUCCAAAUGUUGCAUGUAUGAUGGCGUAUAUAAUAUAUAUGUAUCAUUUUUAACAGCUCCAAAUUAAACUUAAUUAUUUAUUUAUUUAUUAACACCAGUCAGCAAUUUUGUGAUAACAUUUAUGGUUUGGUUUACAAGUAACAGUUAUUUAUAAUGUAAUACUAAUAAUUCACAGUAACAACGAAAAUAGUGCAGAAACAACAAAAUACAUAUUAGGUGGUGACAUAUUACCACCAUAUAAAAAAAAAAAAUUAAUAAAUAAAAAUUAAAUUAAAUAUAAAAACAUUACAACUAGUUUUACAUUUAAAAUGAUUAAAAAUCAUUUUUUGAUUGAAAUCAAAAUUAAGGCUAUUUAAAUUACGAAGCAUUUUAUGUAAGAGGAGGUUAUUACCAUAGAUAUACUGUGGGCUGGUACUAGGAAGAUAGUGUGAUGUCUGGAGAAGACGAAAGGGAUACGAAAACUUACUUUUAUAAUAGAUCAGAAGCAUCUAUGGUGCCUCUUAAGCAUGAAGAAAUAAAUUGCACGUCAAUGUCUUAUGUAGGAUAAACGUAGUGGAAUUUCCAAUAUACUACGAAUUAAGGAGAAGUCAUGUUGAUGGGUGUGGUAAUUUAAGGAAAUGGGCUGCGUGCGUAGGAAAGAAACCUAUUUUGAACACAUUCUAGUCUAAAUUCAUCUUUAGCCAAGUAAGGAUGCCAUACUAUCACUCUAUAUUCUAAUAUUGAAUGUACUAACGUGAAAUAUAAUGUCAGGAGGCAACACAAAAGAAAAAUGUGUGGUGUUGCGCUUAAUAAAUCCCAAGACUUUUAAUAUUUUACCUACAGUUACAUUUAUGUGAUGUUCAAAGUUAAAAGAUUGAGUAUAUCAAGAUUUUUAUGGAGAAAAACAUGAUCAAGAGUGGUGCCAUUAAAAUAAUAGUUGUUAAUUAUUUUUAAAUGUGGGUAUUUUGCUUAUGGAUUCACAUAAAUCGCAGUUUUUUUCUACUAUUUAUUAAGAAUACAAAAUAAAUCAUUAUAUUAUACAUAAUAUUAGCAAAAAAAAAGCAAUAUAAAAUUUCAUAUCUGGAGUCCCUGGUGCAUAAAACAAAUAUAAAGCUUAUUUUUAUCUGUAUCCUAUAAUAAUUAGCAAAAGGUCUAAAAUCUCGCCCUGGUUAUUACUUAUAGUGUUCUGGCUAUAAUUAUUUUUUAUAAUCUUAUAUAGUUUGACUAAAUAAGGUUUUUUUUUGUUGAUGAUAUGAAUUUUUAUGGCAGAACUGAACUUUUCUUAAAAUUAAUGAACACAAACUAAACUAAUCCUGCACAAAUUUACACAUACAACCUAUUUAUUUGAAUUGAACUGAACAAAACUAUUUAAAAUAUGUUAUUAACUUAAACUAAAUAUUAAACAUUUUUCAUAAUGAGGCCUCUUUGUCCCAUCAUGCACAGGAAACAGUGUUGGUAACUGCGCUGAAUAGUUGUUGUAGAUUUUUGAAUUUCAAAAAUUAAACAGCUCAUAACAUCUAUACUAUUUUUCACGAGAGAAAGUUAUUCACGCACGCAGACUGAGCUUACGGAUCACUUGCUACCGCUCUCGUCGUUGAUGGCAGUCCGCAAAAUUACACCUGGCCUAAUAGUGGUGGGAGCUCUGGGCGAGGUGCGGCGUGGGGAUGCGUAAAAAUAACUAGUUUUUGUUGAGACUCUCCGCUGUUCUUUCGUGAAAAAUAGUAUACUUUAUUUAUGUUUAUUGUGCGAACAAAUUAUUUUUCUGAAUAUUUAUAUUCAAACUAACCAUUUUUGAACACAUUAUAAAAAUAAAUAAUAAUAAUAUUAUUUUAUUUUUGUUAAUUGCUAUUUUAUGUAAAAUACAUGUAUUAAUUUUAUAGGAAAUGUUAUUUCUAAUGAAGAUGAUUCAUGGAAUGUUGGUGCUGGUGCAUCUAUGUAUGUAGAUGCUACCCAAGAACCUUGGAAUAAGCAUUAUCAGAUGUACACCUAUAUUACCAAAGAACUAUAUGAACUAAUACAAAAUCAUUUUCCAGUAAUAAAAAAUAAAAUAUCUAUUACUGGGCACAGGUUAUUUUACAAAGUUUUUUUUGUAAAUAUAUUACAGUCAAAAUUUAAUUCAUUUUAAUUUUAUAUAGUAUGGGUGGCCACGGAGCUUUGUUAUGCACUUUACUUAAUCCAGGAAAGUAUAAAUCAGUUUCAUUAUUUGCACCAGCUUGUAGUAUUUCAAAUUCACUUACAUUACGCCCUGGGUUAACUGCAUUAAUUGGAGAUGUCGUGGAAGAUUGGCAAAAAUGGGAUCCAACUUAUUUAGUAAAAAGUUACAAUGGUCCUGAACUGGAAAUAUUAAUACAUGUGGUAUGCAUUUUAACAAUUUGAAUUAAUUUAGUUUUAUAUUGUACUUGUUUCUUUGUAGAAAAUAUAUUUACUAGAAAAAAUUCUGAACUCAAAUUGUUGGAAAUUAUUUUAAAGUGAUUAGUUAUACAUGAUUAAGUGAACACUUUUAUCUGUAUAGUAUAAACUAAUAAAUUUGAUUAAUAUUUGAAUAUAAUAUUCACAGGGUACUGAUGAUGAAUAUUUAGAAAAAGAUCUAUUUAUUCAUGAUUUUAAGAAUGCAACUGAUAAUUCUGAAAAAAUCAAGACCAACAUUUUUUACGAGGACGGCUAUGAUCAUGGAUAUUAUUUCGUAUCAACAUUUAUGGAGGAACAUAUAAAAUUCCAUUGUUUUAAAUUGGCCUCAUAGAAUAAUUGAAAAUCUAGUUUAUAUUGUAGUAAUUCAUGAACUUUUAUUGUUAUUACUAUUAUUAUUUUAAUUUUAUUUUAUAAAUUAUAAAUAGGUGAAAAAACUCUUUAACCAAAUAAAAGUGACAUCGUAAAUGGCACAAGUAAUUUAAAAUACAGUUGAUGAAAUAAUAACAAUGGAAUAUAUAUAAGUAAAUAGAACAAAAAUUAAAUUACAUUAUACAAUUAGUUAACGUGUUAUAAUAUACAUUAGACAUAAAAACUUCACGAGACAUAAAAAAAAAUCAAUACAAGAUGUUAAUUAAUUUGCUAACAUUAGAACUUAAGGAAAAUAUAAUGCUGAGCUAUAAUUAUUGGUAAAAAAAAAAAAAAAAAACAUAAAAUAAUUUAUUAGUCCUGAAGAUAUGACUAGUGUGAAAGUCAGCCAUUGAAAGUAACUCUAGAUAAUCUAUAUUUCCAUUAAGCAAGUCAAAUAAAAACAUUAAAUCAGUAAAUUUUCUUCUGAGAUUACAAGAUGUAAUACAUAUCUGAGAAGAUUGUAAAUGAUAAGAAUCCUUGGAUAUACUAAUAUUUAAUUUAUAACAGAUGGAUUCAGUAUAUUUGUAUUGAAUAUUUUCAAUAUGAUUAAUAAAAGCUGCAUAGUUAAGAGAUCAAACCAAAGAACCAAAUUCGAGCUUGGGCCUAACAAGAGAGAAAUUUAACAUUUUUAAAGUAUUUAUAUUUUUAAAAUCUUUAGUAUUUCUAUUAACGAAACCCAGAAUCCUGAAAGCAUUACUAGCUAAAAAAUUAAUAUGGGGAGGAA